UACGUAGGGUGCAAGCGUUAAUCGGAAUUACUGGGCGUAAAGCGUGCGCAGGCGGCGCCGCAAGUCGAGUGUGAAAUCCCCGAGCUUAACUUGGGAAUUGCGCUCGAAACUACGGUGCUGGAGUGUGGCAGAGGGAGGUGGAAUUCCACGUGUAGCGGUGAAAUGCGCAGAUAUCAGGAGGAACACCGGUGGCGAAGGCGGGUCUCUGGGCCGAUAUUGACGCUGAGGAGCGAAAGCGUGGGGAGCAAACAGG
rnacentral:rRNA from 1 species